rnacentral:rRNA from 3 species
GGUUGUUGCUGGCUUCUAGGAGC